rnacentral:rRNA from 1 species
UAACGGUACGUUGUACGAUACCCUCACGACCAACGAGAUGGUGGUCCCCGUUCCCGGGUCGGGGGACGAGGGUGACGAGGUGGUGCAUGGUUGUCGUCAGCUCGUGUCGUGAGAUGUUGGGUUAAGUCCCGCAACGAGCGCAACCCUCGCCUCUAGUUGCCAGCAUUCGGUUGGGCACUCUAGAGGGACUGCCGGCGACAAGUCGGAGGAAGUGGGAUGACGUCAAAUCAUCAUGCCCCUUAUGACCUGGGCUACACACGUGCUACAAUGGGCGGUACAAAGGGCUGCGAACCCGCGAGGGGGAGCGAAUCCCAAAAAGCCGCUCUCAGUUCGGAUUGCAGGCUGCAACUCGCCUGCAUGAAGCCGGAAUCGCUAGUAAUCGCGGAUCAGCAUGCCGCGGUGAAUACGUUCCCGGGCCUU